GACACUUUCAAGAAGGCGUCAAUGAGAACAGAGUGAGGAAUUAAUGAAGAUCACUGUCAAAGGAUUGUCAGGUUCACAUUAUUCACUGGCAGAGUCUUUUCAACAGAGAAGAAAAACCUUAAUUUAUAAGCAGAGGGAGAGUGGAAGAUUGGUGAUGCUGAAAAAGG